CCACCUAUGUAACAUUAUAGUAUGCAAUAAAGAUUUGAUUUGAUUUGACCAUUACAAUAGUUCCAUGACACAGAUUCAUCACUGCAACAAAAGAUUUAUUCAAGAAAUAACUAAAGUUUCAGGUGCGGCUUCAUGCAGUCGCAUGACGCUCGUUUGCAGCGAACAGGAGUGAGCGUUGACAAAAGUGUGGUGCUGCAACGGUUUCUAAAUUAAUUCCUGUAAAUAAUAAAGUCAAACAAGGUGAGGCUCCUAUUUCUUGCACUUGUUUCACUGCUAAGGGGUACAAACGAUGUUAGACGAUCAGCAACACAGGGUCGCGACGUGAAAGAUUUGCCGCUGCAAAUUAGUUAUAUAUUUGUCUAUUAUAAGCGACUGCAUGUAGCAGAAGCUUUGUAAGUCGCGGGAAAUUUGAAAUUAGGUCACGUGACCAUCGAGCGAUUCCAUGAGGCCGCACCUUUACGGAAAAGAGUUUUAUUUAUACAACGACAGAGGCCAUAAACAAAAAGCCGCGUGCAUAAUAUUUUAAACGACGAUUUCCUUCUAGGUACAAAUAUGUAUUGUGAUGAGUAUCUAUUUGACAAAAUAAUGAUUUAAUGCCAUAUUCAAAUGUCAUUAAAACCAAGACAAUAUACUGUCCUGACGAUAUCUUUUUUAUUAAUAACCGCAAUUGUAUUAGUUAAAAUGUUUUGGUAAAAGUUUUCAUGUACAAAAUAACCAGAUGAAUUUAAAUAAUUUGAGGGAAACCACGGAAAACUAAAAUACAAAAAUGAUGACCCAAUUAUAGAGAGAACAUUAAAAAUGAAUCCAGAAGAAAGAAGAGUCCCCAGGAUGCCUGAAAUAAUGCAAUUAUUGCUUAUUACACAAAUGCCUGAUUAAAAGCAUACAUUCCUGGUAACAAGCUCUUCCUAUCUUUAUGAAUUCAGUAUUGCCAAAAAAUAUCAACAUAAAGUUACUGUAAAUUAUUUACAUGUGGUCCAAAUAAAGAAUUUCUCAUAAA